UGCGCAGUCAUUGGGGAGUAGCCGAUUCCUGAAGAAUUUAUCAGGAAUGUUCGUGUCAACAUACUCGUUUUCUAAAAACGUGGUGCGAACGGCCAAGCUGGCAGGCGAGACCAUAGACACGGGAUUCACCGUUAUGGUU
rnacentral:sRNA from 2 species